CAUAGGUUAAUGAGGCGAACCGGGGGAACUGAAACAUCUAAGUACCCCGAGGAAAAGAAAUCAACCGAGAUUCCCCCAGUAGCGGCGAGCGAACGGGGAGCAGCCCAGAGCCUGAAUCAGUAUGUGUGUUAGUGGAAGCGUCUGGAAAGGCGCGCGAUACAGGGUGACAGCCCCGUACACAAAAAUGCACAUGCUGUGAGCUCGAUGAGUAGGGCGGGACACGUGGUAUCCUGUCUGAAUAUGGGGGGACCAUCCUCCAAGGCUAAAUACUCCUGACUGACCGAUAGUGAACCAGUACCGUGAGGGAAAGGCGAAAAGAACCCCGGCGAGGGGAGUGAAAAAGAACCUGAAACCGUGUACGUACAAGCAGUGGGAGCACGCUUAGGCGUGUGACUGCGUACCUUUUGUAUAAUGGGUCAGCGACUUAUAUUCUGUAGCAAGGUUAACCGAAUAGGGGAGCCGAAGGGAAACCGAGUCUUAACUGGGCGUUAAGUUGCAGGGUAUAGACCCGAAACCCGGUGAUCUAGCCAUGGGCAGGUUGAAGGUUGGGUAACACUAACUGGAGGACCGAACCGACUAAUGUUGAAAAAUUAGCGGAUGACUUGUGGCUGGGGGUGAAAGGCCAAUCAAACCGGGAGAUAGCUGGUUCUCCCCGAAAGCUAUUUAGGUAGCGCCUCGUGAAUUCAUCUCCGGGGGUAGAGCACUGUUUCGGCAAGGGGGUCAUCCCGACUUACCAACCCGAUGCAAACUGCGAAUACCGGAGAAUGUUAUCACGGGAGACACACGGCGGGUGCUAACGUCCGUCGUGAAGAGGGAAACAACCCAGACCGCCAGCUAAGGUCCCAAAGUCAUGGUUAAGUGGGAAACGAUGUGGGAAGGCCCAGACAGCCAGGAUGUUGGCUUAGAAGCAGCCAUCAUUUAAAGAAAGCGUAAUAGCUCACUGGUCGAGUCGGCCUGCGCGGAAGAUGUAACGGGGCUAAACCAUGCACCGAAGCUGCGGCAGCGACGCUGAUGCGUUGUUGGGUAGGGGAGCGUUCUGUAAGCCUGCGAAGGUGUGCUGUGAGGCAUGCUGGAGGUAUCAGAAGUGCGAAUGCUGACAUAAGUAACGAUAAAGCGGGUGAAAAGCCCGCUCGCCGGAAGACCAAGGGUUCCUGUCCAACGUUAAUCGGGGCAGGGUGAGUCGACCCCUAAGGCGAGGCCGAAAGGCGUAGUCGAUGGGAAACAGGUUAAUAUUCCUGUACUUGGUGUUACUGCGAAGGGGGGACGGAGAAGGCUAUGUUGGCCGGGCGACGGUUGUCCCGGUUUAAGCGUGUAGGCUGGUUUUCCAGGCAAAUCCGGAAAAUCAAGGCUGAGGCGUGAUGACGAGGCACUGCGGUGCUGAAGCAACAAAUGCCCUGCUUCCAGGAAAAGCCUCUAAGCAUCAGGUAACAUCAAAUCGUACCCCAAACCGACACAGGUGGUCAGGUAGAGAAUACCAAGGCGCUUGAGAGAACUCGGGUGAAGGAACUAGGCAAAAUGGUGCCGUAACUUCGGGAGAAGGCACGCUGAUAUGUAGGUGAAGUCCCUCGCGGAUGGAGCUGAAAUCAGUCGAAGAUACCAGCUGGCUGCAACUGUUUAUUAAAAACACAGCACUGUGCAAACACGAAAGUGGACGUAUACGGUGUGACGCCUGCCCGGUGCCGGAAGGUUAAUUGAUGGGGUUAGCGCAAGCGAAGCUCUUGAUCGAAGCCCCGGUAAACGGCGGCCGUAACUAUAACGGUCCUAAGGUAGCGAAAUUCCUUGUCGGGUAAGUUCCGACCUGCACGAAUGGCGUAAUGAUGGC
rnacentral:rRNA from 1 species